CCUACGGGUGGCAGCAGUGAGGAAUAUUGGUCAAUGGACGAGAGUCUGAACCAGCCAAGUAGCGUGAAGGAUGACUGCCCUAUGGGUUGUAAACUUCUUUUAUAUGGGAAUAAAAUGUUCCACGUGUGGGAUUUUGUAUGUACCAUAUGAAUAAGGAUCGGCUAACUCCGUGCCAGCAGCCGCGGUAAUACGGAGGAUCCGAGCGUUAUCCGGAUUUAUUGGGUGUAAAGGGAGCGUAGGUGGAUUGUUAAGUCAGUUGUGAAAGUUUGCGGCUCAACCGUAAAAUUGCAGUUGAAACUGGCAGUCUUGAGUACAGUAGAGGUGAGCGGAAUUCGUGGUGUAGCGGUGAAAUGCUUAGAUAUCACGAAGAACUCCGAUUGCGAAGGCAGUUCACUGGACUGCAACUGACACUGAGGCUCGAAAGUGUGGGUAUCAAACAGGAUUAGAUACCCCAGUAGUC
rnacentral:rRNA from 1 species